UACUAAGGAUGGUGAGAACCAGACAGGG
rnacentral:sRNA from 1 species